GGUCUUCUUCCUCCCUUCGAGAGCGCGUGUCGAGGAGGUGGGAGGGCGGUGUCCGUGAGCGGUUGCGGUCGUGGGGCCGAGGGCGCACAGGAUAGGGAGGGCCCUGGGGCUCCCGGGGAAGAUGCUGGCCUCAACACUAGCUCACACCAUGUGGACGGCGGAUGAGAUUGCACGGCUGUGUUACGAGCACUAUGGGAGCAGGCUGCCCAAGCAAGGGAAGCCUGAGCCCAACCGCGAGUGGACGCUGCUCGCAGCCGUGGUGAAGAUACAACCUGCAGCUGACCAGGUCUGCGACUGCCCUGACAGACCCGUGCAAGUGACAAAAGAAGUUGUCUCAAUGGGAACAGGAACCAAAUGCAUAGGCCAGUCCAAAAUGAGGAAGAGCGGAGACAUCCUCAAUGAUAGCCAUGCCGAGGUCAUAGCCAGAAGAAGUUUCCAGAGGUACCUCCUCCAUCAGCUGCACUUGGCGGUCACUCUGAAGGAGGGUAGCAUCUUUGUCCCAGGAACUCAGAGAGGACUGUGGAAACUCAGACCAGACACCUUGUUUGUGUUUUUCUCCAGCCAUACACCCUGUGGCGAUGCCUCCAUCAUUCCAAUGCUUGAGUCUGAAGAUCAGCCUUGCUGUCCUGUCAGCAGAGAUUGGGCCAAUAACCCAUCAGUGGAAGCCAAUAAUAACCUAAAAGCCCCCGAAGGUAAAAGGAAAUGUGAAGACCCAGAUAGUCCUGGGACCAAAAAGACGAGGGUUGAGCCGGGGCCUCCUGAUGGUAUGACUCACCAUCAGAGUUUUGACUAUCAGGAAAGUGGCCCAGUCCCACCAGAUGUCAACAGCUCUCAUCUCACUGCAGAGGAACUGGCUACCGUCCCUGGAAUGGCCCACAGUGGUGCCAAAGUGGUGGACAUUUAUAGAACUGGAGCUAAGUGUGUGCCUGGAGAAGCUGGUGACUUGGGAGGGCCUGGUGCUGCGUAUCACCAAGUAGGACUGCUCCGCGUGAAGCCAGGCCGAGGGGACAGGACUUGCUCCAUGUCCUGCAGUGACAAGUUGGCACGGUGGAACGUUCUUGGAUGCCAAGGGGCACUGCUGAUGCACUUCCUGGAAGAGCCUGUCUACCUGUCAGCCGUGGUCAUUGGAAAGUGCCCGUACAGCCAGGAGGCCAUGCAGAGAGCACUGAUUAGAAGGUGUCGGACCAUCUCAGCUUUACCCAAAGGCUUUGGAGUUCAAGAAGUGAAAAUACAGCAGUCAGAUAUACUAUUUGAACAAAGCCGCUGUGCGGUGCAGGCAAAAAAGGCUGACAGCUCAGGCCGACUUGUUCCUUGUGGGGCAGCCAUCAGCUGGAGUGCAGUUCCUGAGCAGCCUUUGGAUGUUACUGCCAAUGGUUUUCCACAGGGAACAACAAAGAAAGCAAUCGGAAGCCCUCAGGCCAGAUCCCGAAUCAGCAAAGUAGAGCUCUUUAGAUCAUUCCAGAAGCUGCUAAGCAGUGUUUCAGAGGACAAGUGGCCAGACUCACUCAGGGUGCAGAAGCUAACGACGUACCAAGAAUACAAAGAGGCUGCAGCCACUUACCAGGAGGCCUGGCGCGCACUCCGGAAGCAGGCAUUUGGAUCCUGGAUCAGAAACCCACCAGAUUACCACCAGUUUAAAUGAGAAAAGCUUGCUGGCAGCAGGUGUUCUCCGUCCCUUCAUGCUGGAUCACCUCCUUCCUACAGGCUGAACAAGCCUUAGCUUCCCCUGCAACUGAUAAGGGAAAAAAAAAAAAAAAAAAAAAGACCGCCACCUACCAGAGCAAUAUAUCUCUUCUGUGUGAGAUGGGUGGAAUUCCCGAACAUGGCACAGUCUAUACUUGAUUGGAGUAGCUCUCUGCUAAAAUAGCAUCUUGCUAGUGACCUUGGUAUGUGUCCUGUGUUUUACUGCUUCUCUAAGAAUUUGGAAUAUGAUGCUUUAAAAGUACUCAGCAGUAGCUCCAUUUUAUGUGUUCCUACGCUGAUGUGGCAAGGAUUCAUUGGGCUGAGAGGAUAAUUGAAUCUCUGCAAGUUUUAGAGCUUCGCCUGUCAUAGUGGACAUGUAUUUCGCACCCCCCGCCUUUCUUCCUUUGGAGAGCCACCCUGCUCUGCUCUAUCCACGAGACUUGGUUGAUGCAAACUUUACUCCUUAGCUCCAGAAAUGUGAGCCAGACCUGAAGAGUCUGGAAUUAUUGCCAGAGCCGUCAGCGCCAAGCAUUAGCUCACUGUCUGGGGAGACAAGCUGAUGUGGAGAAAAUGACCUGUGCUGGCCGCCACCGGCGUUGCACUUGGAAGAGAAGCAGGCCUUGUCUGAUCUGGUCGUGUCGUGUCUGGCUGAUGGAAAGCUGCCUUCACCUGGCCCUUGGCAGCACUUUUUGGCUUCAGACAGUGUUUGGAGCAAGCCUUGGGCAAAGUUUUCCAGUCUCUAAAACCCAGAGCUUGCUAGUUAGUUAAAUGGCUUGGGACAGUGUUAGAUUUUCAGCUGCUACUUCCCUCCUGUGAUGGUGUCUGGGGGUGUCAGAGGAGCUGUUAAAAGAAGUCCCACUGCAGCAGAAGGUUAUUGAAACUAAGAAACAGCUUCCAAGUAAAAAGAUAAAUGCACUUGUACUCAC